rnacentral:rRNA from 1 species
UACGUAGGUGGCAAGCGUUGUCCGGAUUUACUGGGCGUAAAGAGCGCGCAGGCGGUCGUUCAAGUCGCGUGUGAAAGCCCCCGGCUCAACUGGGGAGGGUCACGCGAUACUGAUCGACUCGAAGGCAGGAGAGGGAAGUGGAAUUCCCGGUGUAGUGGUGAAAUGCGUAGAUAUCGGGAGGAACACCGAUGGCGAAGGCAGCUCGCUGGGACGUUACUGACGCUGAGGCGCGAAAGCGUGGGGAGCAAACAGGG